AAAGCUAUACUUCCAGGGAUCAUUUCUAUAGUUUGUUAUUAGAGGAGCUUCUCUGAUCAUGUAGAACAGCAAUACAGAAACUCAGAAGAAAAAAAAAAUGAUGCAAUUCCAUUUGAUAUAAAAGGAGU
rnacentral:snoRNA from 1 species